rnacentral:rRNA from 1 species
AACGUAGGAGACGAACGUUAUCCGGAGUUACUGGGCGUAAAGAGCGCGCAGGCGGUCGUGCAAGUCGCGUGUGAAAGCCCCCGGCUCAACUGGGGAGGGUCACGCGAUACUGCUCGACUCGAAGGCAGGAGAGGGAAGUGGAAUUCCCGGUGUAGUGGUGAAAUGCGUAGAUAUCGGGAGGAACACCAGUGGCGAAGGCGACUGCCUGGCCUGUUCUUGACGCUGAGGCGCGAAAGCUAGGGUAGCAAACGGG